UGAGAGUCUAACUGUCUCUUUUAGUCAAUCAAUUAAACUGAUCUCCUAGUAAAAAAGCUAGAAUAUUUACAUAAGACCAGAAGACCCUGCGAAGCUUAAACCAAACUAUUAAAUCAUAUAAUAACUACUUUCGGUUGGGGCGACCUUGGAAAAAAAAAGAACUUCCAAACACAAUGAUUUUAAUCAUAUACUAGGCCCACAAGCCAUAAACUGACCCAGCUAAAGCUGAUAAUUGAACCAAGUUACUCCAGGGAUAACAGCGCUAUCUUCUUCAAGAGCCCAUAUCAAAAAGAAGGUUUACGACCUCGAUGUUGGAUCA
rnacentral:rRNA from 1 species